GGUGCGCCUGCGGAGGCGGUCCUGUGACGGAAGUGUGGAACUGGUCUCAAUCGGUUGACCACCUUAAGGAAAUAGGAUUUACACUGUGGACAGAGAUGUGUCCUUUACACUUCAUUUGAACCAAUAUGCCCGUGCUCCCGUGGAGGCUGAGUUGGAAAGUGACACGAAGCUGCCCCCCCGCAAGAGAGCAGAAAAAGAUGUUGCUGGUCCAUUUGACGAAGAAGUCCAGAGCGGCUUGUGACUUCAGUCUGGCUUUGCAGAGCCCAGGUGCUCUCUCCACCUCCUGCCAGGUUCCCCUAUGAAGGCUUUGCUCUCAGACUCUCCCCUUGUGGAGACAAAAAUCCCACAGCAAGUGGAAACCGAAGUGCCUUGGAAAAAGUUAUUCUGGCAGCUCCUAUACAAGUCCCCCAUCAGAUGCUGGUAUUGGACCAGCUUUGGUUAUAAAGCCCUGCUGUGGCACAAAAAGGAAUGUCGUCCUGAUACAGCAGCCUCGGGUCACCCAAUCCACUCCAGAUACUAUGGCUGCAGCAUCAAUGUAAGCAGACAAGUUG
rnacentral:sRNA from 1 species